rnacentral:rRNA from 1 species
GUGGGGAAUCUUAGACAAUGGGGGAAACCCUGAUCUAGCCAUGCCGCGUGAGCGAUGAAGGCCUUAGGGUUGUAAAGCUCUUUCAGAUGGGAAGAUAAUGACGGUACCAUCAGAAGAAGCCCCGGCUAACUCCGUGCCAGCAGCCGCGGUAAUACGGAGGGGGCUAGCGUUGUUCGGAAUUACUGGGCGUAAAGCGCACGUAGGCGGACCAGAAAGUCAGAGGUGAAAUCCCAGGGCUCAACCUUGGAACUGCCUUUGAAACUCCUGGUCUUGAGGUCGAGAGAGGUGAGUGGAAUUCCGAGUGUAGAGGUGAAAUUCGUAGAUAUUCGGAGGAACACCAGUGGCGAAGGCGGCUCACUGGCUCGAUACUGACGCUGAGGUGCGAAAGCGUGGGGAGCAAACAGGAUUAGAUACCCUAGUAGUCC